UGAUGAGACGUCCUCCGCAUAGAACGCUUUGGCGAGGGCAUCCUGCUACGUCUGCUGUAUGCCCGAAGGUGCUGUAGGCCGCCCUAGAAGGCAGCAUCGAUUUUGCGGGUUCUUUUAACUCAACAACGAAAACUGGCAAUCUUCACAGCAUCUUCACCAGGAGUAGAUUCCACCUCAAGAAAUCACUCAUCCCUGAUCAUGAUAACAGAUAUAAUAAUAUUGAAAAGUUUGACAUAUGGCAAACAUUACCAAAAUGUGACAGAGAUACAAAGUGAGCAAAUCCUGUUAGAAAAAUGGUGCCAAUGUACUUGUUUGUUGCAGAGUUGCCACAAGACUUCAAUUUGUAAAAAAUGCAGUAUCUGCCAAGCAAAUACACAAUAAAGCAAAGUGUGAUAC